GGAGGGAGGGAGGGAUGGGGGUGAGCAGACGGAGCGCGGCCGAGCCGAUGUGAUGAGUCACGCCAAGGCAGCCAGACGCGUAGGUUCCUCACAGGAACCCGGAGGAAACAUGAGAGUUUGUACUGCAUCAUCUAUGAAUCACAGCCCUCAGGAGAAUGAAUGCGUUUCAGUGCGAGUAUCCGAAAUAACACUUCAUACUUCAUCUGCAGCUGACGUCCGACAGCACCAUACUGUGUGAAUGUGGCACUCCUGGAAUGUCUAAGCCUGAAGCACACUUUUCUUCAGCAGAGGAACUCCAUCAUAGGGCAAGAAAGCAUCAAACCACAAGUUAAAGUUAAGUCAUAUAAAAUUAAUAUAUGUUAAAACAAUAUAAUAUAACUUAAUGUGCCUUUCUAAAUCAUUAUGAUCCUGAACAUGAGGCAGUCACUUCUGAGAAGCUGGAACACAGUUACUUGUCCUUCCAGCUCACGUAUCUUUUCUUGUUCAGAAAAAGGGCGGACAUGGAAAAGUAGGCAGUAAAGAUUUCACCUUUGUCAUUAGUCCAUGAAAUGCCUUUGAAUAAAUCUCACUCUUGAGUUUAGUCUCACCCAAAAUGACUGAAGGAAAAGUGACUGAAAUUCAGCAGAAAAAUAGAUGUUUCUCUCCAAGCUGUAUUUGCCAUUUGGGUUAGCAGCUGAGCAACCAUCCACAUUAGUCAACCAAUUUGUAACUGACUUUAAUGCAAGGCUGUUUGGCUGCAUAACUUGAACCUUGGCUACAUCUUCUUAUCUUCCAUUAGGCUAUUUCCUCGCCAGGUUUUCUUAAUAUUCUUCUACAAAGAAAUUGGUUGGAUUCUGAGUGUGGAAAAGGCACAGAACACAUGAAAUCAAGAAUAAAUAAACUAUUUUCCGUAUCCAAACCAAAGAGUUUCAGAGCAGGAUUCUGGGCUGGAGAAGAAGAAUCUCCUAACCACAAUGUUUUCUUGUUGCCAGGCCUUGUGGUACAUACUGUGUUCUUGUUGUGGUGACAGAGUAAGUUCCUGCACCACAAAGUAAAUGUCAACCCUACAAAACUGAACAAUAUUAAACUCAGCAUGAUAGUUAAAGCUGCUGCUUUUCAGAACAGUGCAACUUUUGCAGCAAACCCGACGACCUAUUUUAGUUUUGAUUCAUUGCCACGAAGUAACUAGCUAGAAUCUUACUUCUUGUGCAGUCAUAGGAUUCUCUUCUGCUGCUCACUGUUGUGCACUGAUGUUCUGAAAUGCAGAAUUCCAGGCAGAUGUAAGAAAAUACCAACUUGCCAUGGAAGAUUUAUAGUAAGACAAUGGUCAAAUUAUUUCUUUAUACGCAAUUCUAAGCCUGGAACAGCUUCCUUCCUUCUCUCCAGCAGAUGAGAACAAAAUCUGGCUCAUUUAAUCUAAUUUUGUCUCCGCCAACAGAUCCUUCUCUCUAGUUCUGGUCUGCAGAGCUGAUUUUUAUUAUAACUUCAAUUAAAGUAAAUAUAUAAAUAAAUCUCAGCCUAGACAGCUCCUAAUAUUUCUCUGGAUGUUUCAUAACUCCCUCCGUUAAGCAAAUAACUACUAUUUCUAUUUAUUUAUUUUUAACAAUGGCAUCUAUGGCAUCUGGAAUACUGGAAGAUGUAACAUUUGCUUGGACAAAAGGAUCUGCCUUGCUUUUGUGACUCAGCUUCAGCGCCAAAUUUUGUUUCAAGGCAAAGUCAGUUUAGCGUCACUAAAUUAAAAAUUAAAGAUAGCGACUCCCACAACUUGAAUUUUCCAUUUACUCUUCUGGCUGAGUUUCCUCAGCUAUAACAACAUCGAACUGUGCCAGAAAGGGGGUCAGACGUGUGCAUGUGUACCCACAAACACUUCCCACAACUGAAGAAAUUACCAUUUUGCACUAUAGUCCCUUCCUUCUCCUCUAUUAAAACUUAUUAUUUUUCUGUUAAUAAAAAAGGACAAAUCCCAGCUGUUUAUUUUCAGUGGAUAAUCAUUCAUUUAGUUGAGAUUCUGAAGCUGUUAAUAUACUGCUAGGAAGCCCAGGUCUCCUCUUUGUUAAAUGAAAGCCACAAACAAAGCACGUUCCAUUUACAGACUUUUCAUUCUGGAUGCUUUGGUAAAAGGAGGAUAUGGAAAGCUAAGGGCUGAACAGCAGUUUGGUUCAAGCUUGAGUAGUGAUAGAACAUUCUCACCAAAAUAGAAACAUAAAAUUGCAUUAAAUCUUUUGUCCUUCCAAUCGAGCCUUUUUGUCUCUGCUGUUACCAACACAAGAUAAAUGAGAAGUUCAAAACAGUGCUUGACUGCCCUUGAUCAAGGACUUUGCAGCAGGUAAGGGCUAACGCCCCAAUCUGGCAUAGCAUUAAAGUGUGCAUUCAUCUUCAAGCAUUUCUCAGCAGCUCCACAGCUUUCUGCCCUGAUUUGAGGCACCUGAGCAGAUUGCUGCAUGAAACCUUGUUAAAAUUCAGAUGCACACAGAAACAGAUGACUGAUCAAGAACGGUGUCAUUAAACAUACUGCACUGGAUGCUCACAUUUCCUGUUGUUUUUAUUUUAACCCCAAGUAGUUGUACCCUUCAUCUCAAAAAAGCCGAGGCCUCGUUAUAUAAAAUAGAUUUUAUUAUAAAAGUAAAAUUAUGCCAUACACAAAUAAUUUUUCUGCCACAAAAAAUUUCAUAUUAUAGUUUUAACAAUAAAAUAAAGUCCAGAGUGGGAAUUUAAAGAACCUCUCAGGCUGCCUCUGGCUGCAUGUUCUCCACAUGGAUGUUCCCAUUCAGCGCAGCUUUCUGGAAUAGUUCUUUUGAAUCACUAUUAUUUUUCCUCUUCUCUCCGUGGCCGUUUGCGAGGGUUCAUUUCAAUACCUUCUGCAUUUUGGGUGACAGGUGGAGGCUGCACAUCUCGGAAGCCCUGGGGCUGUAAUAUAUAAGUAAAAUCAGGUGAUAUUACUUGUAUAGAUAUAGAGCAUGAGUAACUCUAGUUCCCAAAAGAUCUGAAUGAGGCAUGAUGCUAUCAUUUAUUUUAGAUGAAUGGAUGAAUGCUUCUAGAUGAGGUUAAGCUCAGAACUGAAAGGUUUUCAACACACAUGGCCACUGGUUAUUGUCUCUGCUUCCUUUCACCAACGAGGCCACCAUUUCCAUUUCACUAUAACAACCCCAUGACUAUGUAGCAGUGCUCCUCUGCAAAUUAACUUAUGCUGCCUAUUUAAAUAAACUAAACGCCAAAUCCUUCAGCCCGGAUUCAAACCAAAGUCCUGCAGCAGCAAGGAGAUGACCACUGGAUUCACUGCCUCAGCCAUUUUCAGAAACAACACUGAAAAUCUUCAAAGAACUCUUUCUUUUUCAUGCAUCUAUUUAACGAGCUGAAAACAUUGAGGAGACAGUGUAAGAGAAGUGGAUACUUGAAUUGGCCUUUGCAUUCAGCAGAGACAGUCCCAACAUAGUGAUUUAUGGGACACAAUGGGCCAAGUACUUUAACUGCCAAAACCUAAAUGCAGAAUUGAAAACUAGAUGCUGCUACAUAGUAGAGAGCUUAGGGUGAUCUAUUUUGCUUGGUACCACUGGUAUUUUCUGUCACAUUACCUCACAGUUUGAUGAUGUUAAAAGAUUUUAAAAGAUGGAAGAUCUGAAACAUCAGUUAGUUAAAUGUCAUCAGUUAUUACGUAACACUGAGAUGUUAUGUGAAACCUUCAGCUGCCUUAUCUCCAAAUGCUGUGUAGGGAGCAUUGCUGACAGCUCAGUGAAGGACUCACUGUACUGCAGACUUAAAAGAGGAAAAAGUGUUAAUCAGAAAUUGUCGUGAGGAUCCUAAGUGCUCAGGUUGAGACAAGGCAGGGCUGAGCACACCUCAGGAAGGCUGAUGCUUCAGCUUAGUGCAGUGUGAAAAAUCAGGGAGAAUUACAAGCAGAUGUGUGACUUUUUCCAAAUGCCACUAUGUCCUGCACUGAGAUGAAUCCAAGGUAAAACCAAUCAGAAUGUUUUGUUUGUGUCUCAUCUCUGUAUUUCUAUUUCUAAAUGCCUCACCUCACGUAGCCUAUGUUUUGAAAGGAACAAACAGCAAGAGGUGCCACAAGGGCAGAACCUGUGAGGUCCCUCUGCUAUUUUAAGCAACUCAAGUGUUAUUCUAAAUAGCAUAAUGGGAAAUCUUCAAGUUUAGUGUUUCACUGCUGCUUGCAUCUAAUCUCUGCUAUUUCCCUUAGGCACAAAGGUGGAUCAAAGCCAAGAAUCCACUUAAUCCAGCAUGCUAGACUCUCAGUAAAAGCAUUCCAGUGGCUAUAAAGGCCAGAACAUGAUGAAGCAGGCUGCUUAGUAUGGACGUUUUUCAUUUAGUUAAAGGCAUGUAUACAGCCUCUCUCCAGUGAGAAAGAAAACAAGAAUUUUGUAGGUACAUGCAAAGCUUGUUAACAGUAUUAUAGGGAGAAAACAUGGCUAACAGAAUUAAGGCUGGAAAAAAGCUCACUUGGACGUGCAUAGCUCCAAUCACAGCUGCACUCAUCUUGGGUUGUUCUUCAGUGUUUCCUGCACCCACAGACUGCAUCAAAACUGAUGCCUUUAUUACUUUGAGGACAUUCUCAUUGUUAGUCUGACAGACCCUCCAAAAUUCAGGGAAAUAUGAACAAUUCUUACUCAGAAUACAAGUUCUGGAUCCUUAUUUUUCAUCAUCAAAUAACCAGGUCAUAUUACCUGGGAAAUUCAGAUGAAUCAGAUGAGCCAUUUACUCCCUUGUGCUUAAAUCAAUUUACAUUUCUAUACUCCGCUCUUAAGAAUGAAUCCUCACCAGCCUGUGAAAGAGCUAUUAUUUCAUUUGAUAGGUGUUCCGUAGCUUCCACGCUUGCUCGGACUGGUGGCUGACCUACCAAUGUGCUGGAAAUGAAACAGCUGGAAAAGAACUGGAGCUUCAGGCACUCGGUCCCAUACUUCUCCACCAGUCUACAAGAACUGAUCAACCAGUUGUCAGAAGUACCAAACCAUCUGAUUUGCAUUGAAUUUAACAGCAGUUAUAAGCCUAAGCAUCUUGGAUGUCUGUUUUUUAAACUGUCUGCUGGUUAUACACGAUAUUCAGCAUCAUACUUGGAAGCACUGAAUGCAUAUUUACAUCUUCCAGUUUAACUACUGAGAUGAGAAUGAGAAAUGGUAACAGCAAACAAUUAUUAUCAGACCUGACUUUCAUAACAGAAACAGGGAUAAUACAUUUUUUUACUUCCAGAAACAUCUGCUGAAGCAGCUCAACAAGAUUAAGGGAAAAAACACAGGGAUAAUCUGAAGUUAUAACUAAUCUUUGAUUAGGACACACUCUCAACUGUACUUCAAGACCGUGUACAUUCACAUGGGUGAAGACAGCAUAGCUGUUCUGUAAUAUGUAUAAAGCUGAAAUGGCAAUUAAACUAAGAGAAUCCAUCUGUUUGGCAGCUGCACAGAGAAGGCUGCGCAGCUGCAUCACAUGAUCUAAACAACCUUGGGAUGAGGUCCCAUUUUCUUGUCCAGUCUUUACAAAACUGACAAAUAAAUAAAUAAAAAUAGUAGGUCCGUUUAGAAGUGGAAAAAAGAAAAACCAACCCUUGAUUUCUGCUCAAUAGCUUGAGGGCCUCAUUUUAGGGCAGCAUUAAAAUCUGCAGGAAAUGCUAUGGCAACGUGUUUCCAUGAGGACACACAGCAAAUAGUUAUGGCAUGUACCUAUGUAUCUGUCAUUUGAAGACACAAGAGCUGAGUGCUUGUUUUUUAACAGCUUAAACAAUAUAUAUUCUUAAUAUGUAUCUUAGCACUCAACAAAAGAAAACAAUCACAGGAUUUACCUAGGGCUGAAUAAGGACUUCAGCUGGAAUAUCAUCACACAGUAACAACAGAAGAAAAUAAUAUAUGCUUCUGUAUAUAUGGCCUGGUCAUAGGGUCAGCAGUAGGACAAGGCUACGAGAGAUUUCUGUUACAUCAGGCAACGUACUCAGAGCAGAGAUCUCUAGAAUGCUAUGAAUGAUUCUGGUCACCCUUGUCCUAAAAAUGACAAACUGGAACAGAUGCAGUGAAGAGCCACUAGGGAAACAAACAACCUGACAACAGAAAGCAGCUUGGCUUCCUGAAGGAAGGCUUCGAGUACAAGAUUCUCCUCUAUACUUGCACUUAGGCCAAGAGUUAACAUGAAGGGCAGAUAAACUACACA